CCGACCCCAAUAUCUGGUCAGAUACCAUUGGCAAACGCUCGGAUCAACACAUAGGGAUUGUAUCAUUGUUGAAGAACUUCUCGGAUGACACAUACACAACUCGGCGAACGGACACUUUAUAUAAAAAUGACCGUAACAAGUAGCGAUACUUUUGUGCUAUGAUUGUAUACGUUCAUUACAAAAUAUAAGCUGCAGCAUUUUGUAAACUGGUCUCAUAAGGAUAUCAAGAUAUUUGAAACGCA